rnacentral:hammerhead_ribozyme from 15 species
CCGGCGUCUAAGGUAGGCUUCCACUACAAUACCUUACUGAUGAGUCCAGUAGUGGAAGCGGGGACGAAACGCCAA